CAAUAAUUCUGCCAAGUACCUACUUGACAAACGUUCAAACGGUCCUUCGAGUUCACAGAAGUUUUUUAUUUCAGUUCAUUUCCGCAAUCAGCUGUUGGCAGGGUUGUUACAUUGGAGUUUCAAACAAAUUCUUUUAUAC